rnacentral:rRNA from 1 species
UACGUAGGGGGCUAGCGUUGUCCGGAUUUAUUGGGCGUAAAGAGCGUGUAGGCGGCCAGGUAGGUCUGCUGUGAAAACUCGAGGCUCAACCUCGAGACGUCGGCGGAAACCAUCUGGCUAGAGUCCGGAAGAGGAGAGUGGAAUUCCUGGUGUAGCGGUGAAAUGCGCAGAUAUCAGGAGGAACACCAAUGGCGAAGGCAGCUCGCUGGGACGUGACUGACGCUGAGACGCGAAAGCAUGGGGAGCGAACAGG